rnacentral:rRNA from 1 species
AUAAUACUCCAUAGAUUAGAGACACUGGAAUGUUCUUUAGUCGAAAGUUCUGGCGCCUUAGGAUGGAUCUGCGGUCGAUUAGGUUGUUGUUGGGGUAACGGCCCAACAAGCCUGUAAUCGGUACGGGUUGUGGGAGCAAGAGCCCGGAGAUGGAAUCUGAGACACGAUUCCAGGCCCUACGGGGCGCAGCAGGCGCGAAAACUUUACAAUGCAGGAAACUGUGAUAAGGGAACUCCGAGUGCCCGUAUACGCGGGCUGUCCAGGUGUUUAAAAAUCAUCUGAAGAAAGGGCCGGGCAAGACCGGUGCCAGCCGCCGCGGUAAUACCGGCGGCUCGAGUGGUGGCCACUAUUAUUGGGCUUAAAGCGUCCGUAGCUGGACCGAUAAGUCUCUUGGGAAAUCCGCCGGCUCAACCGGCGGGCGUCUAAGGGAUACUGUUAGUCUAGGGACCGGGAGAGGUGAGAGGUACUCCGGGGGUAGGAGUGAAAUCCUGUAAUCCCCGGGGGACCACCGAUGGCGAAGGCAUCUCACCAGAACGGCUCCGACAGUGAGGGACGAAAGCUGGGGGAGCGAACCGGAUUAGAUACCCGGGUAGUCCCAGCCGUAAACUAUGCGCGUUAGGUGU